AGAUUAAGUUAUUAAGGGCGCACGGUGGAUGCCUUGGCACUAGAAGCCGAUGAAGGACGUUACUAACGACGAUAUGCUUUGGGGAGCUGUAAGUAAGCUUUGAUCCAGAGAUUUCCGAAUGGGGAAACCCAGCAUGAGUUAUGUCAUGUUAUCGAUAUGUGAAUACAUAGCAUAUCAGAAGGCACACCCGGAGAACUGAAACAUCUUAGUACCCGGAGGAAGAGAAAGAAAAUUCGAUUCCCUUAGUAGCGGCGAGCGAAACGGGAAGAGCCCAAACCAACAAGCUUGCUUGUUGGGGUUGUAGGACACUCUAUACGGAGUUACAAAGGACGACAUUAGACGAAUCAUCUGGAAAGAUGAAUCAAAGAAGGUAAUAAUCCUGUAGUCGAAAAUGUUGUCUCUCUUGAGUGGAUCCUGAGUACGACGGAGCACGUGAAAUUCCGUCGGAAUCUGGGAGGACCAUCUCCUAAGGCUAAAUACUCUCUAGUGACCGAUAGUGAACCAGUACCGUGAGGGAAAGGUGAAAAGCACCCCGGAAGGGGAGUGAAAUAGAACCUGAAACCGUGUGCUUACAAGUAGUCAGAGCCCGUUAAUGGGUGAUGGCGUGCCUUUUGUAGAAUGAACCGGCGAGUUACGAUUUGAUGCAAGGUUAAGCAGUAAAUGUGGAGCCGUAGCGAAAGCGAGUCUGAAUAGGGCGUUUAGUAUUUGGUCGUAGACCCGAAACCAGGUGAUCUACCCUUGGUCAGGUUGAAGUUCAGGUAACACUGAAUGGAGGACCGAACCGACUUACGUUGAAAAGUGAGCGGAUGAACUGAGGGUAGCGGAGAAAUUCCAAUCGAACCUGGAGAUAGCUGGUUCUCUCCGAAAUAGCUUUAGGGCUAGCCUCAAGUGAUGAUUAUUGGAGGUAGAGCACUGUUUGGACGAGGGGCCCCUCUCGGGUUACCGAAUUCAGACAAACUCCGAAUGCCAAUUAAUUUAACUUGGGAGUCAGAACAUGGGUGAUAAGGUCCGUGUUCGAAAGGGAAACAGCCCAGACCACCAGCUAAGGUCCCAAAAUAUAUGUUAAGUGGAAAAGGAUGUGGCGUUGCCCAGACAACUAGGAUGUUGGCUUAGAAGCAGCCAUCAUUUAAAGAGUGCGUAAUAGCUCACUAGUCGAGUGACACUGCGCCGAAAAUGUACCGGGGCUAAACAUAUUACCGAAGCUGUGGAUUGUCCUUUGGACAAUGGUAGGAGAGCGUUCUAAGGGCGUUGAAGCAUGAUCGUAAGGACAUGUGGAGCGCUUAGAAGUGAGAAUGCCGGUGUGAGUAGCGAAAGACGGGUGAGAAUCCCGUCCACCGAUUGACUAAGGUUUCCAGAGGAAGGCUCGUCCGCUCUGGGUUAGUCGGGUCCUAAGCUGAGGCCGACAGGCGUAGGCGAUGGAUAACAGGUUGAUAUUCCUGUACCACCUAUAAUCGUUUUAAUCGAUGGGGGGACGCAGUAGGAUAGGCGAAGCGUGCGAUUGGAUUGCACGUCUAAGCAGUAAGGCUGAGUAUUAGGCAAAUCCGGUACUCAUUAAGGCUGAGCUGUGAUGGGGAGAAGACAUUGUGUCUUCGAGUCGUUGAUUUCACACUGCCGAGAAAAGCCUCUAGAUAGAAAAUAGGUGCCCGUACCGCAAACCGACACAGGUAGUCAAGAUGAGAAUUCUAAGGUGAGCGAGCGAACUCUCGUUAAGGAACUCGGCAAAAUGACCCCGUAACUUCGGGAGAAGGGGUGCUCUUUAGGGUUAACGCCCAGAAGAGCCGCAGUGAAUAGGCCCAAGCGACUGUUUAUCAAAAACACAGGUCUCUGCUAAACCGUAAGGUGAUGUAUAGGGGCUGACGCCUGCCCGGUGCUGGAAGGUUAAGAGGAGUGGUUAGCUUCUGCGAAGCUACGAAUCGAAGCCCCAGUAAACGGCGGCCGUAACUAUAACGGUCCUAAGGUAGCGAAAUUCCUUGUCGGGUAAGUUCCGACCCGCACGAAAGGCGUAACGAUUUGGGCACUGUCUCAACGAGAGACUCGGUGAAAUCAUAGUACCUGUGAAGAUGCAGGUUACCCGCGACAGGACGGAAAGACCCCGUGGAGCUUUACUGUAGCCUGAUAUUGAAAUUCGGCACAGCUUGUACAGGAUAGGUAGGAGCCUUUGAAACGUGAGCGCUAGCUUACGUGGAGGCGCUGGUGGGAUACUACCCUAGCUGUGUUGGCUUUCUAACCCGCACCACUUAUCGUGGUGGGAGACAGUGUCAGGCGGGCAGUUUGACUGGGGCGGUCGCCUCCUAAAAGGUAACGGAGGCGCUCAAAGGUUCCCUCAGGAUGGUUGGAAAUCAUUCAUAGAGUGUAAAGGCAUAAGGGAGCUUGACUGCGAGACCUACAAGUCGAGCAGGGUCGAAAGACGGACUUAGUGAUCCGGUGGUUCCGCAUGGAAGGGCCAUCGCUCAACGGAUAAAAGCUACCCCGGGGAUAACAGGCUUAUCUCCCCCAAGAGUUCACAUCGACGGGGAGGUUUGGCACCUCGAUGUCGGCUCAUCGCAUCCUGGGGCUGUAGUCGGUCCCAAGGGUUGGGCUGUUCGCCCAUUAAAGCGGUACGCGAGCUGGGUUCAGAACGUCGUGAGACAGUUCGGUCCCUAUCCGUCGUGGGCGUAGGAAAUUUGAGAGGAGCUGUCCUUAGUACGAGAGGACCGGGAUGGACAUACCUCUGGUGUACCAGUUGUCGUGCCAACGGCAUAGCUGGGUAGCUAUGUGUGGACGGGAUAAGUGCUGAAAGCAUCUAAGCAUGAAGCCCCCCUCAAGAUGAGAUUUCCCAACUUCGGUUAUAAGAUCCCUCAAAGAUGAUGAGGUUAAUAGGUUCGAGGUGGAAGCAUGGUGACAUGUGGAGCUGACGAAUACUAAUCGAUCGAAGACUUAAUCAAAUU
rnacentral:rRNA from 1 species